CCUACGGGCGGCAGCAGUGAGGAAUAUUGGUCAAUGGACGAGAGUCUGAACCAGCCAAGUAGCGUGAAGGAUGACUGCCCUAUGGGUUGUAAACUUCUUUUAUAUGGGAAUAAAAUGUUCCACGUGUGGGAUUUUGUAUGUACCAUAUGAAUAAGGAUCGGCUAACUCCGUGCCAGCAGCCGCGGUAAUACGGAGGGUCCGAGCGUUAUCCGGAUUUAUUGGGUGUAAAGGGAGCGUAGGUGGAUUGUUAAGUCAGUUGUGAAAGUUUGCGGCUCAACCGUAAAAUUGCAGUUGAAACUGGCAGUCUUGAGUACAGUAGAGGUGGGCGGAAUUCGUGGUGUAGCGGUGAAAUGCUUAGAUAUCACGAAGAACUCCGAUUGCGAAGGCAGUUCACUGGACUGCAACUGACACUGAGGCUCGAAAGUGUGGGUAUCAAACAGGAUUAGAUACCCCAGUAGUC
rnacentral:rRNA from 1 species